UUCAACUACAGGAGAAUGUGAAAACACUCCAGGAGAGAGAGGUUGCAUAUAUCAAUGCAGACUCAUACACAGAAGGCAAUUAUACUCUCAGACUUGACUGUACACCCCUUCUUUUCCAGUUGGUAUAUAAACUGACAAAAGAGGUAUGUAAAUAGAUCUGUCGUAAUGAUUUCUGAUGAGUAGAUAAAUCAAUAACUUUUGUUUUCUAAAUUACUAAUAUUUAAACUGGUGACAGACAUAGCUGAUUUGUAUAAACAAGAAAUCAGAACGAGCUUUAAUACACUACUUAUGUAACAUAACUAUGAGAACAGUAGUGCUAGUCUCUGUUCUAAUAAUAGUUCCUAAUAAUUGUAUACAUUUGUUAAAAUGUGCAGGGUCUAUUGUUUCAUGGGGCAGAGUCUCUUUGAUAUAACAGAAAGAUUACUGAGCUGGGUUGGGGAAGCCUUGGCUGUGAAGAUUGCCUUGGCUAUUCAUUCAUUCAUUCAUUCAGGAAGUAUUUAUUGUGUGGUUACUAUGUAUCAGGUCCUAUGAAAGGAACUCUUGCAGCAACAGUGAUAAAAGGACAAGGUUACUGAAUCCAAAUACUUUGUAAUCUAGAGAGGCCACAGACCUGUAAAUGAGGACUCAUACUUCACUUGAAUAUUGGAUA